CCUACGGGUGACAGCAGUGAGGAAUAUUGGUCAAUGGGCGCGAGCCUGAACCAGCCAAGUAGCGUGAAGGAUGACUGCCCUACGGGUUGUAAACUUCUUUUAUAAAGGAAUAAAGUGAGGCACGUGUGCCUUUUUGUAUGUACUUUAUGAAUAAGCAUCGGCUAACUCCGUGCCAGCAGCCGCGGUAAUACGGAGGAUCCGAGCGUUAUCCGGAUUUAUUGGGUUUAAAGGGUGCGUAGAGGGGUUGUUAAGUCAGUUGUGAAAGGUUGCGGCUCAACCGUAAAAUUGCAAUUGAAACUGGCAGUCUUGAGUACAGAUGAGGUAGGCGGAAUGCGUGGUGUAGCGGUGAAAUGCUUAGAUAUCACGAAGAACUCCGAUUGCGAAGGCAGCAUACUAAACUGCCACUGACAUUGAUGCACGAAAGUGUGGGUAUCAAACAGGAUUAGAUACCCCAGUAGUC
rnacentral:rRNA from 1 species